rnacentral:rRNA from 1 species
UACGAAGGGGGCUAGCGUUGCUCGGAAUUACUGGGCGUAAAGCGCACGUAGGCGGCUUUCUAAGUCGGGGGUGAAAUCCUGGAGCUCAACUCCAGAACUGCCUUCGAUACUGGAGAGCUUGAGUCCGGGAGAGGUGAGUGGAACUGCGAGUGUAGAGGUGAAAUUCGUAGAUAUUCGCAAGAACACCAGUGGCGAAGGCGGCUCACUGGCCCGGUACUGACGCUGAGAUACGAAAGCGUGGGGAGCAAACAGG